rnacentral:ncRNA from 21 species
GCCGGAUCGUCCGGAUUAAUAUGAGGGCAUCAUCACUUUAUCGUGGUUAAUUUAGAGUUACCUAAAAUAAUUCCUUAAAUAACAAUCACAGGAACCGGAGGUUGCCCUCGGUUGCAAAGACAGUGAAAUCGCGCUUAUACUUAUCAGUGCCGGUAUAUCCAUGUUUUUCUUCGCACUAUCGAGAAAAAUCGAUAU